rnacentral:rRNA from 1 species
UACAGAGGUCUCAAGCGUUUGUUCGGAAUUACUGGGCGUAAAGGGUGCGCAGGCCGCGCGGGCAGUCAAAUGUGUAAUUCAGGGGCUCAACCCCUGCACUGCGCUUGAUACUUCCGCGCUCGAGCUUUGGAGAGGAGUCUGGAAUUCUCGGUGUAGCAGUGAAAUGCGUGGAUAUCGAGAAGAACACUUAGGGCGAAGGCAAGACUCUGGACAAAUGCUGACGCUCAUGCACGAAGGCUAGGGUAGCGAACGGG